ACCCGCUGAACUUAAGCAUAUCACUAAGCGGAGGAAAAGAAACCAACAGGGAUGCCCCUAGUAACGGCGAGUGAACACGGGAAGGGGCAUCCUCGUA
rnacentral:rRNA from 1 species